rnacentral:rRNA from 1 species
GAGGAAUAAGCAUCGGCUAACUCUGUGCCAGCAGCCGCGGUAAUACAGGGGAUGCAAGCGUUAUCCGGAAUUAUUGGGCGUAAAGCGUCCUGAGGUGGCUUACCCAGUCGACUGUGAAAGCUCAAGGCUCAACCUUGAAACGGCAGUCGAAACUUGUAAGCUUGAGUACAGUAGAGGCAGAGGGAAUUCCCGGAGGAGAGGUGAAAUUCGUAGAUAUCGGGAGGAAGGCCAAAGGCGAAAGCACUCUGCUGGGCCGAUUACUGACACUGACAGACGAAAGCUAGGGGAGCGAAAGGGAUUAGAUACCCCUGUAGUCCUAGCCGUAAACGAUGGAUACUAAGUGUUGCGCGACUCAACUCGUGCAGUGCUGCAGCUAACGCGGUAAGUAUCCCGCCUGGGGAGUAUGCCCACAAGAGUGAAACUCAAAGGAAUUGACGGGGGGCCAAGCAAGCGGUGGAGCAUGUGGCUUAAUUUGAUGCAACGCGGAGAACCUUACCAGGGUUUGCAUGUCAUCGGGUUUUUUGAAAAAGAAACCUUUUCUCUUCGGAGGCGAUGAACACAGGUGGUGCAUGGCCGUCGUCAGCUCGUGCCGUGAGGUGUAUGAUUAAGUUCAGUAACGAGCGCAACCCUUGUCUUUAGUUACUUUUUCACUAGAGAGACCGCCAGUGAUAAGCUGGAGGAAGGUGAGGAUGACGUCAAGUCAGCAUGCCCCUUACACUCUGGGCUACACACGUGCUACAAUGGCCGGGACAAUGAGAUGCUACCUCGCGAGAGUACGCCAACCUCAAAAACCCGGUCUUAGUUCGGAUUGCAGGCUGCAACUCGCCUACGUGAAG